UUGAACGCUGGCGGCAUUGCCUUACACUAUGCAAGUCGAACGGCAGCACGGGGCAACCCUGGUUGGGCGAGUGGCGAACGGGUGAGUAAUGCAUCGGAACGUGCCCGGAAGUGGGGGGGAUAAAACCGUAGCGAAAGUUACGCUAAUACCGCAUAUUCUGUGAGCAGGAAGCAGGGGGAUCGCAAGACCUUGCGCUUUUCGGAGGCGGGCCGAUGUCGGAUUAGCUAGUUGGUGAGGUAAAAGCUCACCAAGGCGACGAUCCGUAGGCUGGUCUUAGAGGGAUGAUCAGCCAACACUGGGACUGAGACGCGGCCCAGACUCUACGGGAGGCAGCAGUGGGGGAAUUUUGGACAAUGGGGGCAACCCCUGAUCCAGCCAUGCCGCGUGAGUGAAAGAAGGCCCUUCGGGUUUGUAAAGCUCUUUUCGGACAGAAAGAAAAUCGCACGGUCUUCUAAUACAUCGUGUGGAUGACGGUACUGUCAUAAGAAGCACCGGCUAACUACGUGCCAGCAAGCCGCCGGUAGUACGUAGGGUGCGAGCGUUAAUCGGAAUUACUGGGCCGUAAUAAGCGUGCCGCAGGCGGUUUUUGCAAGAACAGGCGGAUGAAAUCCCCGGGCCCUCAACCUGGGAACUGCGCUUGUGGACUGCGAGGACUCGAGUACGGCAGAGGGGGGUAGAAUUCCACGUGUAGCAGUGAAAUGCGUAGAGAUGUGGAGGAAUACCGAUGGCGAAGGCAGGCCCCCCUGGGCCAGUACUGACGCUCAUGGCACGAAAAGCGUGGGGAGCAAACAGGAUUAGAUACCCUGGUAGUCCACGCCCCCUAACACGAUGUCAACUAGGUGUUGGGUGGGUAAAACCAUUUAGUACCGUUAGCUAACGCGUGAAGUUGACCGCCUGGGGAGUACGGCCGCAAGGUUAAAACUCAAAGGAAUUGACGGGGGCCCGCACAAGCGGUGGGAGCAUUGUGGGUUCAAUUCCGAAGCAACGCGAAGAAACCUUACCUGGGUUUGAAGAUCAACGGACCGGGUGCGAAAUCACCCCUUUCCCGCAAGGGACUGUUGGUUAGGUGCUUGCAUGGCUGUCGUCAGCUCCGUGUCGUGAGAUGUUGGGUUAAGUCCCGCAACGAGCGCAAACCCCUGUUGCCAGUUGGCCAUCGGGUAAUGCCGGGCACUCUGGUGAGACUGCCGGUGAUAAACCGGAAGGAAGGUGGGGAUUGACGUCAAGUCUCAUGGCCUUUAUGUCCAGGGCUACACACGUGCUACAAUGGCCGGUACAAAACCGACGCAAGAGCGCAAGCUGGAGCAAAUCGGAAAAAAGCCGGUCUCAGUUCGGAUUGGAGUCUGCAACUCCGACUUCCAUGAAGCUGGAAAUCGCUAGUAAUCGCGGAUCAGCACGCCGCGGUGAAUACGUUCCCGGGCCUUGUACACACCGCCCGUCACAUCACGAAAGUCGGCUGUACCAGAAGCCGGUGGGCUAACCCGCAAGGGAGGUAGCCGUCUAAGGUAUGGUCGGUAAUUGGGGUG
rnacentral:rRNA from 1 species